CAGCCGCCGCGGGAAUACGUAGGUGGCAAGCGUUGUCCGGAAUUAUUGGGCGUAAAGCGUGCGUAGGCGGUUCGUUAAGUCUGUUGUGAAAGCCCCGGGCUCAACCUGGGAAUGGCAAUGGAUACUGGCGAGCUAGAGUGUGUCAGAGGAUGGUGGAAUUCCCGGUGUAGCGGUGAAAUGCGUAGAGAUCGGGAGGAACAUCAGUGGCGAAGGCGGCCAUCUGGGACAACACUGACGCUGAGGCACGAAAGCGUGGGGAGCAAACAGGAUUAGAUACCCCGGUAGUCCCUGUCUCUUAUAU
rnacentral:rRNA from 1 species